rnacentral:misc_RNA from 1 species
GAUGAAGAACGCAGCGAAAUGCGAUAAGUAGUGUGAAUUGCAGAAUUCAGUGACUCAUCGAAUCUUUGAACGCACAUUGCGCCCCUUGGUAUUCCAUGGGGCAUGCCUGUUCGAGCGUCAUUUGUACCUUCAAGCUUUGCUUGGUGUUGGGUGUUUGUCCCGAGGGACUCGCCUUAAAGUAAUUGGCAGCCAGUGUUUGGUUUUGAAGCGCAGCACAAGUCGCGAUUCAAGGCUACACGCCCGCUUCCACAAGCCUUUUUUCACUUUUGACCUCGGAUCAGGUAGGGAUACCCGCUGAACUUAAGCAUAUCAAUAAGCGGAGGA